rnacentral:lncRNA from 1 species
UUUUUUCUUCUAUUUUAUUCAUGCAUUUAUUUUUUGCUAUGCUCUCAGCAUGUGUAAGUUCUGGGGCUAGGGAUCAAACUCAUGCCGUAGCAAUGACCUGAGCCAUAUCCUUUAAUUGCUAGGCCAUCAGGGAACUCUUACAUGUACUCUUUUUUUUUUAAAAAAAAAAGUUAUUUUAAUCUGGUUUAAAUGCUAACUCUCAUAUUAGACAAAUGUGUGGAUUUUUUAAAAAUGUUAUGGCCAUACCCUCAGCACAUGAAAGUUUCUGGGGCAGGGACUGAAUCCGAGUCACAGCUCUGACCUACACUUCAUCUGUGGCAAUGCCAGAUUCCUUAACCUACUGCACUGUGCUGGGGAUCUAACCCACACCUCUGCAGCAACCCAAGCUGCUGCAGUCGGAUUCUUAACACACUGUACCACAGCAGGAACUCCCAGACAAAUGUGUUUUAUGGCUAUUUUAAUAUCAUUCUAAAUUGUUCUAAAAUAUUAAAUAUAGCAAAAUUAUAAGAAUGAUAUUCUGAUCAAUUAACUAACACAAAACUCUUUGCUUUCUUCUAUGGAUUUGUUGCCACAGAAAGUUUCAAAAAUUAUUAAAGAAAGGGAGAAAGAAAAAGAACCUAGCCUGCGAAUGCCUGACUUUUUAUUCCCCUUGAUAGGUGUAUGCUCAGUUACUCCUUAUAAAUUGUAUAUGAACAGUUUAGUUCUACUUCUCUGCUCCCAAGACUCAGUUCUUACUAGGGUGUUCCUUAACAUCUGGUUCAAUAUUCACUGCAGAUCAAAUUUCAAAUACUUCUUUUUAAAACAAAAAUUUGUCAAUGUUACAUCUACAAUUUAAAGACCAUUUAGAAUAUUCUUUUGGAAAUGAACAUAAAUCCUUAAGACAAUAUGAAUACUUUCUGAUAAAAAUAUAUGAAUUAAUAUAUGAAUUAAUAUAUUAUAUAUAAUGCUUGGUAUUAUUCAUCACUGUCCCUAUAUUAAUAAGUCACUCCAAAAAUGCUGAAUAGCUGGCAUAGCUGUUUAGUGAACACAAACAAGUACUUGCUUCCUAAACAUUUUAAAUGGUUAGUCAUUAUUAAUUUUUAUAAAAUGUACUGCAAUCACAUUAAUCCCUAAAGUCUACUAUCUCAGCAAUGGGGAUGUAAGUAAUUCAACAGGAGUUUGUUGUGAUUUUACUUUAAUUAAUACUCGUUUAUUAUAAAGUAUUACUCGCCUUUUGAGGAUAUGCCCUUAAUAACUAACGCCACUUUUGGUGAGUGCCAGAUCAUUAUUAAUUCCUUUUGUAUUCAUUAUAACAUCAAUAAGGGAAAGCUCAUUUGCUAUUAAUAUGAAUAUAACAGGUAAUUCCAUUCUAAUCUAGUAAUGAUUAAUGUUCACUUGGUAGGUAAUUACAAUAUCACAUUUCAAACUGUUAGUAUUGGACAAUGCUUGUUUUUUGUAGCCUCUCAAAAAAACACGGCCAUUUUUCUGGGCUUAGAACUGAAGAGGUUAAAGAAAGGAAAUUGACUUCAGGACAAAGAGGUAAAGUUCUUAUGAGGUUAGUAAAGAGAAUAGUGGUUAAGUGAAGGGAUUGUAACAUAAUUUUUUGCAAUCGGUAUGCUUCCUAUGCACCUAGAAACAUCACCACUCCAUUUAUAAACAAAGAAAAAAGAAAAGGAGAGGUUUCAAAAGCCACUGUUUAAGUUCCAAGAUGCCAAUGCAUUUUCAAACUAUAUGGUCUCCACCUCCUAAAAGACAGGUUAGUUUCAAUGUUAGAGAGCUUAUAUUUCAAAGAAACAACUCUUUUGAUGUCAUAAAUUUCAUUUGUAAAUUGAUCAAAAUUAAAGCCGUCUGCCUUAUUUGGGACCAAAAUUAUUUUCAUAUUGAAAAAGGAAGUCUGCUAAAAACAUAUAGUGACUACAUAUUAAUAUUACAAUUCUAUCUUACUUUAGGCAAGUUAUACACACCUCCUUUAACAUCAAUAAGCAGAAAAACUCCCACACAUAUUGACACUUAACACAUUAUUAUAUGUUAGAGUAGAUCGAUGCUGGUCAUUGAUUUUUAAAAUCCUGGAUAUAUUAAGGCUACUAUAGAACAAUGGAGUUCCCGUGGUGGCGCAGUGGUUAACGAAUCCGACUAGGAACCAUGAGGUUGUGGGUUUGAUCCCUGCCCUUGUUCAGUGGGUUAAGUACCUGGUGUUGCUGUGAGCUGUGGUGUAGGGAUUGAACCCACAUCCUCAUGGAUACUAGUCAGAUUCUUUUCCACUGAUCCACAAGGGGAACUUCCUAAACAAUUUAAAUUUAACAUUAAUUUAUUUUAUGUGUAUUUUCAAAAAAACACACUAACACAUCAAACUGUAAUUUUACUGGAAUUAUUACUUAAGGCUCAAGGCAAAAAACAAAAAUGAGGUGAUUUUAAAAAAGUGAACAGGAGUUCCCACUGUGAUGCAACAGGAUUGGUGGCAUCUUGGGAGCACUGGGACAUAGGUUUUAUUCCCGGCCCAGUACAGUUACUGCACAGCACAGCACAGUUAUCACAGCUGUGGCUUAGGUCUCAACUACGUCUUGGAUCUGAUUCCUGGCAUGGGAACUCUAUAUGGCGUGGGGAGGCCAGAAAAAAAACAAAAACAAACAAAAAAAGUGAACAAUAAUAUAGAUGCUACUGAAAAGAUUGGACAAUGAAGGAUAUAUUAGUUUCCAUUUAUUGCUAUAACAAACUACCACAGACUUACUGGCUUAGAACAACAUAAAUUUAUUCUCUCACAUAUCUGGAAGUCAGAAAUCUUAAAUGGGUCUCAUGGGCUAAAAUCAAAGUACUGGUAGGACUCUGUUCCUUCUGGAGAAGCUAGAGGAGAAAGCAUUUCCUUUCCUGUUCCAACUAGUAGAGGCCACUCACCUUGUUUGGCUGGUGGGCCCUUUCUCCAUUUUCUAAGCAAGCAGCAGGGCAUCUUCACAUCUCUGUUGUUGAGUGCUACUCUCCUACUAUCCACUUUCACUUACAAGGAUCCUGUGUUUAUAUUAUACCCAUUUGGAUAAUCCAGCAUACCCUCCCUGUCUCAGGUCAUCUGAUUAUCAACCUUAACUCCACUUGGCAAUCUUAAUUCCCUCUUGUCCUAUAGCAUAAUGUAUUCACAGGUUCUGAGGAUUUGGACAAGAACAUCUUUAGAUGGCCAUUCUUCUGCUUACCAGGGAGGGAAUAGUAGAGACCAGGGAAUAAAUCUUGCUUUUUCCAAUGGGUUAUUAGCAGGCUUGAUGGAAGCAGAGGCUUAAAACAUUAUGUUUCUACUCUUGCUCUUCCAUCUCUGCCUUUCCCAAAGGGACAUGCUUGGGAAGCUUGUUGGAACAAAGAGCAAGAUAUGAGCAACAGAGCCAUGUUGAUCCACCAACUCCCAGACACUUGAGCUCUCAGCAACGCUCUAUAUUUGUAAGCUAAUCCAGCCAGAGGAGAUGAAGUAUUCAACUUAAAUCAAGCCACAAACUAGUGAACUAAAUAAAUACUAAUUUUAAGCUACUAACUUUUGUGGUGGUCUGCUACACAGCUUUAUUGUGGCAAGAGAUAACUAAUACAGUUUGCCAAAGGAUAAUUCUGUCAGGUAAACCAUUAAAACAAAGCCCACCACAUACUGUUACCAUCACAUUGUAAAGUAAGGAGCAUUUUAACAACUAAUAAAGUCAGAAGGAUAUAAUCUCAAAAUAAAGUGCAGACUUUCAUAAGAAAGGAAGGUAACAAGCUUACAUGAUUUCUCUGUUUUUUCCCUUACUCUCUCUUGCACUUCUUUUAUUUGUCUGCUGAUUGAGGAAGUUCUCAUAGGUCAUCUGCAUACUAUUUAAUAUAAUGCUUUUCAUAUCGUAAAUCCUCAAAAAUGUUGUUGAAUGACUAACCACAAUGUGAUUUAAACCAUUCACAAUGGUCUGCUACUAAUUCUGGAACUGAAUAAUAUGAUCACUGCAGUGUACUAAGUGUCAUGAAAACUUAGAGAAAAAAAACAUUUUAUAUGGAAGAUGUUGUAUUCUCCUUUUUUUAGGAAUACUAUUGCAGCAUAUAAGGCCAUGCUGUGACUUUGUGGAAAUCUGUGUUUUACUAAAUUAAAAGGACAAAUGGACUACAUGUUGAUUGGCUUAAAGGGGGUUUAGCAUGUUGAGUCGUUUUCUUUUCAGUUCUCAUCUGCCAGUUUGAGAAUUUUCUUUAAAAGGGUAAUAGAUAUACUUUCGUCAAUAAAAUAUUAUGGGGAUUUAAUGUAGAAGGAACUAAAAUAAUCCAAUUUCAAAACUGCCCUAUUUAGCAAAUAUAUAGUGUAGCUUAAUUCAUGGUAUAUUAACUAAAUAUAGGUCAAAGUUAAAUUUUAUAAAAAUGGGGAAGAAGUAGCCUGCACAAAAUAUUCCAUUGGAAUAGAAAAUUUUAGGCUUUUUCUAUAUUGGCAAACUCAGACCCUUUAAUUAUAACAAUUCUUCUUAAUGGUCUUCAUCUAAUCAUGUAUAGUGGAGUAUUAACAAAACAUGUUUUAUAUUUUCUGGUACUAUUUUUAAUGGAUACUUCAAUGGGUUGAAUUAGAAAGCACUACAGUUUAUAUUGUUUUAACAAUAACAAUUUUAUUUUGCCUUACCGUGGUAGAAACAGCAAUUAGUUUUUAAAGGACAACUUAUCUAAGGGUAAGAUUCUCAGAAAAAAAUUAAGCAUAUAAAGAGGGAUGGACAGAUGGAUGGAUAGGCUAUAAAGCAAGAAUAAAAUGUUAAUGGCAAAAUAUAGGUGUUAGUAUACAGAUGCUCACUGUAAAAUUCUUUCAACUUUGUAAAGUGAUUAAACAUUUUAUAUUAAAAUGUUAGAAAAAUUAACACUGAGUUGAAAAUAUUAUAUCCUUACAUAUUUUUAAUACAUGUGCCACCAUUUUGUUGUCACAUCCUCCUAUGUAAAUAUGAUUAUUAACCAUUUGACUUUGAAAUAUUUAAACCACAGUUUGAGGGGCAUGCUUAUCCUAUAUGACUUAUUCAUUAAGAAACUUGGGAUCCCCUGUGGACCAGAAAUAUAUUCUGGAGUUUGAGAUUAUUUUGAAGAAUAAAUAAGAAUUAUUUGAGCUGAGGAGGUGAGGUUAGGUGGUAGGUCUUCCAAGCAGACAGAAGUAUGGAGAUAGAAGGUGAGUAGCAUCUAGGUAGCUUUGAUUUUUUUUUCUAUAUAUCUCCCUCAUGGGAAGUCAAGGAAAUGGGGCCAUGGAGAAAUUGUAUCAUGAAUGCUUUAAUACUACUCCAAGAAUGGAGGAGUUUAUCUUAAAGGUGCAGAAGUUAUAAACAUGCAGGAAGACCAGUUAAGAGGCUACUGAAGUUUUCUAGGUGAAACUAAUUACAAUAACAUCAUUAACAACAAUCAUAUUGACUAUUCUUUAUUGCUUGUAUUUUAUGUACCUAACUCUGUAUGUGGUAAUCUCUGUAAAACUGUAGGAUACAAAAUCAACAAAAAUUAGUUGUGUUUCUAUAAAGUAAUAAACUAUCUAAAAAGAAAAUUUGGAAAACAAUUCCAUUUAUAAUACGACAAAAAGAAUAAAAUGCUUAGGUACAACUUAGCUAAAGAAGUAAAGGAUUUGUACAAUGAAAAUAACAGAACAAUGAAAGGAAUUAAAGAAUUUACACAAAUGAAAAAGCAUGCCAAGUUUAUGGACUGGAAGAUUUGAUAUUGUUAAGAUGUCCGUACUAUUCAACCAAUCUACAGAUUCAAUGCAAUCACUAUCAAAAUCCCAGUGGCAUUUUUUACAACAAUUGAAAAAAAAUCUUAAAUUCAUAUGAAACCACGUAAUGCCCCAAAUGGUUAAAAAAAUCUUGAAAAAGGUGAAUAAUGUUGGAGGCCUCUUACUUUCUGACUUCAAGAUAUAUCACAAAGUUAUAGUAAUUAAAAUGAUAUGGCACUGGAAUAAAGAAAAACAUAUAGGCAAAUAGAACAGAACAGAGAAUCCAGAAAUAAAUCCAUACUGACCUUUCACAAGGGUGACAAGAAUACACAAUGGGAAAAGCAUAGUGUCUUUAACAAUUGGUGAUGGGAAAAACUGGAUACACAAAUGGAAAAGAAUGAAAUUGGACCCAUAUCUAACACUAUACACAAAAAGCAACUCAAAGUGGAUUAAAGAAGUAAAUGUAAAACCUAAAAGAAAACAUGAGGAGAAACUUCAUGACACUGGUCUUGGCACUGAUUUCAUAGAUAUAACACUAAAAGCACAGGUAACAAAAAUAAAAGCAGAUGAGUGAAUAAUCUCAUUUAAUAUUUUUAGAGAGCCAAAGAAGCAGAAAUUUUAUAAGGAAACUGAAUCAAGAAGAAAUUUAAGAAUUGGCCUAAGGCUACAGGAUAUUGAGGUAUGCUUGAUUCCAU